rnacentral:misc_RNA from 1 species
CUUAAAGGGAGGCAUUCAAGUUCAGCUUCUAAGUAGGUGCCUAGGUGGUGCCUCAAGGAUUGAAGUAAAUUGUUACUAGAUGGCAGUGCAGGUUCUUUAAAAAAUGGCUAAAGACAUCUAGUGGACUAAUUUUCAAUUACCCUAUAUUUUUGUCACCCAUCAUUGCGAUACCAUAGAAGUGUGUGAUUCCGUAUAAAACGUGAUCAGUGUAUGUCAUUUCUAUUACUUUUUUGCGUUCCAAAGGAUAAUUCAACUAUAAUUUUAUGUUAGUUCUGUUAACAGCUAAGCAAGCUACUGAACCACAUAAUUGUGAGCCACCCUCUUGCUUCACUUUCCAUCAUGCUAUUGCACACUGAGAGAAUUCACAUUCUACCCACCGCUGUCCUAUUACCAUGAUUCUUUUUUACUAUACAGCACAGGAGAUGCUGACAACAGAGUAUGGUGAUGUGUGUUAUCUGACAUGUGCAGAAUAUUCAUCUCUGUUGGUUUGAUCAUCACCUUGUGCCUCUCAUCCCACUAAGCAAGCUAGCAUGCAUUGGCUUUAACACCAUUAUCCCAUUUGAACUACAGCUCUCAUCUUCCUUCUCUGCAAAAUUGCCAUCUCAACAAAUUAUUCAGUUUCAACCCAAUUGGAUCACAAGCAACUACCCUAUUUUCCUCUUCACACCGGUACAAAAUCCACCAUCAGAACUACGGCCUUGCUGUCUUCUUCCUUCGCCUUCACCUCAUCGCUGUCUUCCACUACGCUUUCGCCUUUGGGUCAUCGCUGUCUUCGUCUACGCCUUCUCCUUUGCGUCAUCGUUGUCUUCGUAUCGUCCACCGUCCUCGUAUCGUCCGCCGUCCUCGAUCCAGCAAUUAAAGAACGCCAGGGAUUAGCAACACAGAAAAGAUAGCCAAAAAGCAGACAGUUCAGCAGACAGCCCGCGGUGAUGGAGGAAGUUCACCGUGGUUCGUCGCCCUGGUAUUGUUUUGUUUUGCAUUUUAGUGUAUAAGUUAACCCGUUGGCUGCCACCCCGUUUGCGUCCCAUUUUUUUUGUAGCUUAUAGGGACCGGGCGCUGUUCUGCCCCAUGCAUGGGGGGAACAGUCGCCGCGCCUAAAGGCUCUGAGCCUUUAGGCGCCAUAGGCAAUGCACCAGUAGGGACUCUCUUUGUCGGUGCGGUGAUAAGAUUCCUGGGGUGUGCAUUCCCGGAAUGGUUUCUAUCAUCGUACCAACCCGGACUUGUCUUAGGACAAGUCCCACCUUGUUCGCGAUCCUUCUGACGUGAUGCGUAGCAACUGUAGUUACAGCAACCUACGGGUUGCGUGGCCUGGCAGCCAACGGGUUAACUUAGUGUAAAUGUUUGUUUAUUUGUGUAUGUAAUUUUGUGUAUGUGAAGUAUUAUGUAAAAUAGUGGUGGAAUUGAUGGGUGGAGGAGGGACAAUAAAAAAAUUCCUGUAUAA